GGAAGGCAGCAGGCGCGCAAAUUACCCAAUCCCGACACGGGGAGGUAGUGACAAUACAUAACGAUACAGGGCCCUUUCGGGUCUUGUAAUUGGAAUGAGUACAAUGUAAAUACCUUAACGAGGAACAAUUGGAGGGCAAGUCUGGUGAACCUCAGUGUUCUAACAUGCUGACGCCAGAGAUAGUGGGCCUCGUCCCCCCCGUGGGGGGCGGGGUAUGCCCGCUAGUCGAGCAUUCGCAAUAGCGAUGGGUGAAUGCCGGCGAGGUGACCUGGUACGGGGAAGCCUACGGCCCAAUCCGAUUGGGCUAUGGUAAUCCCGUGGCGAGCCCCCUUCCGGGGCCGUCGUAACGCGCGGGAAGGCACCGGUUGCUCGCCUCCGGGCGGGUGACUCGAGGGACGUGCUGUCCCAUCCAAAAGGAUGCCCGUAACUGGAACACCCAUCGUGUAAAGGUUACGGGGGGUGGUUUACGCCGCCUGGGUGAUAUAAACGGCCAGCAGCCGCGGUAAUUCCAGCUCCAAUAGCGUAUAUUAAAGUUGUUGCAGUUAAAAAGCUCGUAGUUGAACCUUGGGCCCGUCCUGCCGGUCCGCCUCACCGCGAGUACUGGUCCGGAUGGGCCUUUCUUUCUGGGGAAUCCCAUGGCCUUCACUGGCUGUGGCGGGGAACCAGGACUUUUACUGUGAAAAAAUUA
rnacentral:rRNA from 1 species